rnacentral:rRNA from 1 species
UACGUAGGUGGCAAGCGUUAUCCGGAAUUAUUGGGCGUAAGCGCGCGCAGGUGGUUUCUUAAGUCUGAUGUGAAAGCCCACGGCUCAACCGUGGAGGAUCAUUGGAAACUGGAGACUUGAGUGCAGAAGAGGAAGUGGAAUUCCAUGUGUAGCGGUGAAAUGCGUAGAGAUAUGGAGGAACACAGUGGCGAAGGCGACUUCUGGUCGUGUAACUGACACUGAGGCGCGAAGCGUGGGAGCAAACAGG